AGUGAACGCUGGCGGUAGGCCUAACACAUGCAAGUCGAACGGCAGCACAGUAAGAGCUUGCUCUUACGGGUGGCGAGUGGCGGACGGGUGAGGAAUACAUCGGAAUCUACUUUUUCGUGGGGGAUAACGUAGGGAAACUUACGCUAAUACCGCAUACGACCUACGGGUGAAAGCAGGGGAUCUUCGGACCUUGCGCGAUUGAAUGAGCCGAUGUCGGAUUAGCUAGUUGGCGGGGUAAAGGCCCACCAAGGCGACGAUCCGUAGCUGGUCUGAGAGGAGGAUAAGCCACACUGGAACUGAGACACGGUCCAGACGCCUACGGGAGGCAGCAGUGGGGAAUAUUGGAAAAUGGGCGCAAGCCUGAUCCAGCCAUACCGCGUGGGUGAAGAAGGCCUUCGGGUUGUAAAGCCCUUUUGUUGGGAAAGAAAAGCAGCAGGUUAAUACCCCGCUGUUCUGACGGUACCCAAAGAAUAAGCACCGGCUAACUUCGU
rnacentral:rRNA from 1 species